rnacentral:rRNA from 1 species
UACGUAGGGUGCAAGCGUUGUCCGGAAUUAUUGGGCGUAAAGAGCUCGUAGGCGGUUUGUCGCGUCUGCUGUGAAAACCCGAGGCUUAACCUCGGGCCUGCAGUCGAUACGGGCAGACUAGAGUUCGGUAGGGGAGACUGGAAUUCCUGGUGUAGCGGUGAAAUGCGCAGAUAUCAGGAGGAACACCGGUGGCGAAGGCGGGUCUCUGGGCCGAUACUGACGCUGAGGAGCGAAAGCGUGGGGAGCAAACAGG